UUCCGUACGAUCACUUAAGUUAAGCAUCGUCGUGCCAGGUACCUAGAUGGGUGACCACUUGGGAAUACCAGGUGCUGUAAG